rnacentral:lncRNA from 1 species
GUUUGGGUGUGGCCGCAUGGCGUGCUGUGGUGCAGGUGGCCGAAGGGGGCGUUACUGUUGCGACUGGCAUCCGCAUCCGGCAGAUGUAGAUGGAACCAAAGUCCAGAAGUUACGCGUCACCCUUGCUCUACAGCCAAACAUGCAGGACUCUAGUAACCCGCGAAAUGAUGGGAUAGCGUUGCAAAUCCUUAAAAGAGUCUUAACGAAAUCCUGGCUGACAUUGACUUCUCCACUGCAACCAUCGAGUUCAUUGUCUCCUAAACCUUGCCAUGGAGGCCUGUGGCACCUGAGCCAGCCAUUAUCAUCACCAGCACUUCCAUGAGCUACAAGCUGGACCCACUGCAGUCCUCCUGACACACUGAAAUCAGAGCCUGCACACAGAGCAGCAGAUGCUUCAAUGUAAAGGUCAUUUCCAGCUAUGUGUUCCAAGAUUACUGAAGCAGGAUUCUGGCCUUCCUGAUAAGAACAUGACCAGAUCCAGCUGGUUUGCAACAAGAUGAACUUCAGUGCUGAGCUUUCACCAAGUUUUUCUCACUACAAUCUCAUUGUAAUACUAAAAUCUCCACCCAAGAUGGAGGUUAUCUGCCAUUUUCUGUACAUGUGUUACCAGAAAGGGGUCCUGAUCCAGACCCCAAAAGAGGGUUCUUGGAUCUCACGCAACAAAGAGUUCGGGGCGAGUCCAUAGAGUAAAGUGAAAGCAAGUUCAUCAAGAAAGCAAAGGAAUAAAGAAUGCCUACUCCAUAGGCAGAGCAGUGGCUUUGGCUGCUCAGCUGCUUGUACUUGUUACUUCUUGAGUAUAUGCUAAACAAGGGAUUGAUUACUCCUUGUUUAGCAGUUUUCUGGGAAAGGAGUGGGCAAUUCCCAGAACUGAGGGUUCCUCCCCUUUUUAGACCAUAUAGGGUGACUUCCUGAUGUUGCCAUGGCAUUUGUAAACUGUCAUGGCGCUAGUGGGAGUGUCUUUUAGCAUGCUAAUGCAUGAGCAGUGAGGAUGACCCGAGGUCAUUUUUGUUACCAUCUUGGUUUUGGUGGGUUUUGGCUGGUUUUGGCCGGCUUCUUUACCACUUCUUUUUAUCAGCAAGGUCUUUGUGACCUGUACUUAGUGCCGACUUCCUGUCUCAUCCUGUGAGUAAGAAUGCCUAAUCUCUCAGGAAUGCAGCCCAGUAGGUCUCAACCUUAUUUUACCCAGCCCCCAUUCAAGAUGGAGUGACUCUGGUUCAAAUGCCUCUGACACAUGUGCCUCAUGUUUGGGCAUGAGACCUCACUGUGUAGGUGCAGAGAAGACCCUGCCUAAACAUUGCCUACACGUUGCUCCUUUUUCCUGCCUCAACUUCCUUAAAAUGACAAGAGCAGAGCCCUUUUGGGAGCUAACAUCAGGACUCCUUUUCUGUACUCUGCUCCGUUGUGCUGCUAGAGCCACAAGCCUAUUAAACUUUGCCUGAAAUAAA